AGCUCAGUGAUGUUUGUGAUUGUUUGUUCCAGAUGUCAACUGUGGCGGUGGGCACUCCAGACUAGGUAAACCAACUGUGGCGUGCUCAUGCGGUGGAAUGCUCUCUGCAACAAGCAGAGCUGACUGGUGACUCACAAGCGGCUGGAGUGGACUCAGAUGUUCCCCGCAUGAAGAAAGCCAGACACUGACUGGUUAUCCAAAAUCCACGUGGGAGGCUUUGGCCCUCUGGAGUCGGUGGCUCAGUUUUAGAGCAUAUUCCAUGGAAACUGCGUGGGAGUUAUCUCUGCACUUGAAAGAACAUGCUGGAGAGCUGGAGGAGCAAGUCAGCUAGCAGCUGUCCACUCGGUCUGUCAGCAUGGGCCCCAGCGUGCAAGCUGAGGCCUUCUCUGUGGGUAGCUGCAGACUAGUGCUGGCCGCUCUCCCUCAGGGCUGCCCUACCUAACCCUAACCCUAACCCUAACCUCCCCCCCCCAGCAUGGUCCCCCGAGCCUCUGAGUCCCUGGACGGCCCUCCCCUCCCUGCCCUCUGCAGUGACAUCAGACUCCAACACAGUCUGAAGCUUCCUGCUCCAUCCUGGCUCCCUCUCCCCUUUUCAGAGGCACGAGAUGCACAGGAGUGUGGAAAGAGGUAGGAAGCUAAAAGCGAAGUGGAGAGGCCUUGCAGACAAACGGGAGAGCCAGCAGCCAUCUCCUCUGAGGCCCAGGGGACAAAGGGAGAAGGAGCUUCCGGGGCCCAGGAUGUGUGCCCUGGUGGGAGCCGGGCAUGGGGAAGAGAGUGGGGCCUCAGAUGUGACCUCAAGUGGCAGAGGGGCUUCUCUCCCACCUCUCGGCUCCCCUUCAGCCCUCCCCCAGGGCCUGUUCUUGUCAGCCAUCCAGGGAGGAGCCCGGGAAGUGUCCCUCAGAGCAGAGCAGAGCAGAGGAAAGAACGUGCAGAAUGUGCAUCUGAAGGCACUCAGGCCAGUGACCAGGACACCUUCCAAAGCCACAUCCCUGCUCAUUUCCUAAACCUCCUUAGGAUCCAACACCUGUGGCUGGAGAGCGGGCUGGAGGGGCAGACACUGUGACCAGCAGGGUCGCGCAGGGCAAGGGCUGACCCCGGCGGGGGAGCUGCAGCUGCUCCCCCAAGACCCUGGUGACCUGGCAGUGCAGGGUUUGGACAUUUUCAUAAUAAAAUAUUGUUUAAAAUCCCUCUGCAGUGGAACACUGGCCUUCCGGCGGGCAGAGGUGCAGUGGAACACUGGCCUUCCGGAGGGCAGAGGCUGGCAGGUUUCCUGCAAGUCCGCGUCUCACUGCAGCGUGGUUUGGUUUCCUCUUUCUCCUUGCUGAGAGAUAGUGCAGGGUGGCGGGACCCCAGGAGGAAGCGUUCCCAGUUCUGACUGCCCUCUGGUGGUCUAUAGGCGCAUGCCCGCAGCAGGCUGCUGUCCGAGUCAAUCAUGCUCUGGGUAGCUCGUCCAUCCAUUUGCAAAUUCUGAGUUAGCUAGUCACAUUUUAAAAUCCAAAGCUGGGCCUGAUGGCUCAUGCCUGUAUUCCCAGAAGGAUUGACUGAGAUUGAUUGAGCCAGGAGUUUGAGGCCAGCCUGGGUCACAUAGCCAGACCUGUCUCAGAAGAAAAAAAAAGUCCGAAAAAUUCUCAAAAGUAUAGAAGGAUCUGUCUAUGUGGCUUCGUAGCAGCUGUUGGCCAUGCCAUCCUGCUGCGGCCUCUGUGGCCUUCUGCUGUAUCACACCUGUCAAUCUACUCCUCUCUGGACCUCAGGGCCCUGGAUUCACCAGAACUUCUCCAUUUAAACCAAUACAACAACUUUAAGGCUAUGUUCCUUAAAUUGCAUUAAUCUAUGACCCGUCUUCUGUGACUGGCCUUAGCCAUGUGUCAAACCUAUUUGCUUAAAACUUUAAGAGGGAUUCUUUCGAAGGUCUAUUUGGAGUGUGUCCUAAAUAGUAGUGCCUGUAAAGUCAAGAGUGCUGUGCUCAGCAGGUCAUUGUGUGGUACCAAACAGCAACGCUGUGGCUGAAGCCUCCAGGUCAUCUCCUGCACCCUAAUAACAGGUGCAUCUCCUCGCAGGCAAUACAACUGCAUCAGCUCAGGUGCGUUGCCAGAAACACCAAUCCUGCCUCAUGACCUUGGUCCCCUCCCCACGGUGCCCGUGGGGGUCACACCAACAAUGAUCCUGGGCAUUCAUUCUCUGCGGAGCCAGUCUGUCUUCCAUCUGAGCACACGCCUCCAAGUGCCCAUUUCUCCAAGAGCUGCUGGCUCUGGCCCUUCUUGAGUCCUGGUCUUCUGUGUUCCUUGGAUUCAGCACAUCCCUAGUUGCUGGGGUUUGCCCAGGUUCACUGCUGUUGCUUGCACUCCCAAGGCUCGGACUGGGCCAAACCAAAGGCAUGCAUCUCGGAGAGAUGGGACAGGAGUGACUACCGUGGCAACACCCACGUUGACCUGGCACACAGGAGCCUGGCACACACGUAACCCACGUGAACGGCCACCAGGAAGCUGCCACAACUGGCUGUUUUAGACAUGACAAGAGUGACAUUCAGAGAGGUUAGGUCAUGUGACAUGGCUGGCAAGUGACAGAGCCAAUGCCCCAGCCCAGCCUGUUGGAUCCUGUGUCCACACUCUUGAUGGCUCGCCAUUUGCAGGCAUUUGAUACUGAGUCAUUUCCUGUUCUUUGGUGCGUUAAUCCCUGUCCCUUCCGGCUUCACUUAUAGGUCAAGUGCUUUGUUGUUCUUGGAUUUCCCCUGGCGUCUCCGCCUUUGCUCUAACAUGGCACCCUGAACUGGGCACAGUGUUGGGACCUGCCCAGUGUGGCUACUUCUGCCUCCCACAAUGUGCUGUGUGUUCUCCUUCACUAGGUGGGAACCAGCCUUCCCAUGAGCAGCCUCCACCCUUGGGAGGAAUGAAUUCCUUCUGUUUCAGCCAAUACCACAGAAUACUUUGGAAAGAAGAUGGAGCUCUCUCUCCUAUUUCCUGUGACUCUCAUGAUGACUUUGGAGAUCACAAGCUGCAAAUGACGUUGGCUGUAGGUGGAAGAGGCCAUCGGCGGCCCCCACAGUGGGUAGCCAUCUGAGCAGAGGGCCGGCUACUCUGCUGGACUGAGCAACUGGAGAAGGAGAAGACCCGAGGUUACACAGAGGGAGAAGGACACUCAGCUGUCUUGGUGUCCAGCUGAGCCCAGUGCUCCGGCCGUCUCUGCAAAGGUGCCAUCUUGGGCAUUCUGGUCCAGCUGAAGCCCUGUCCCCUGACAACCCAGUGGAACCCGGUCAACCGUCAGAAUCACGAGAGGCGACAGUCCUGCUAGGGUCUGCAUGGACCAGGCAUAGGAACCAAGCAGACGUGGUCCUGCCCUGUGCUGGGGAAAGUUCCUGGCUCCUCAAGCCCUCUUCAUUUCUGCCUUUCCGUUUUACGGCUGCCUUUCUGGACACGGCAAUAGAACAACAGCAUAAGGCAGGGACGGUGCGGAGGCCAGGCGACUGAGGCCCAGAGAGGUUGGAAUCCUGAGGCGGUCUGGAGAUUCAGCCUCCGUUUGUCUGUCCCCACCCACCAGUGGUCCUGUGGAUGCUCUAACGCGGCGCUAGGGCACCCUGACCUGAUCUGAGCACAGAGCUGAAUUCCUCGCAGGAGCAGCGCUGCAAGAUGCUGUGGAAGAGACGGGAGAGUGGCCGGCAGCCCUUUGAACAGCAGGAUACUGGAGACAUCAGUGGGUUAACUUCACAACCAACGGACAUAGUUUCUAUGGGAAAACACACUGUAAACCCCAAACCACGGACUUGGAAACAGACCUGGAACUCAGCCUGCGUAUAAAUCAGGGGCUGAGCUGUGAGUGUUGUUUGUUUUGAACGUGACCCCCCUGGACUCUCCUCUCCUUAGCCUUGUUCUUUCUCUCGCUCACUCUUUUCUUUCCUUCAUGCUGUGCGAAGACCCCAGGCAUCCUUGUAGUUCAUUGGCAAAGCCACACUGUCCCUGAGCUGGGUAUACAUCUUACUGACUGUCCCCUAGAGACGUGUUUCAUCACUAUGGAAAAUGAAAUUCUGUUUUCCUAGGUGACGGGAUGUGUUUACCCAGGGACUCCAAGUGGGCUCCAGAGCCUGGGCCAGAUGGUUCCGGAUGUGUAACGUGAGGAGCUGGGCCCGGGGCCCCCCGUGGCCAUGUGACUCACAGGGCCGGUGUGGACGGACGUGCGCUGUGUGUUCUCUACCCACAGGGCUGCGUACACGGUACACAGGCUCCCUGGACAGCCUAGGUGGCGCUCAGGCGGGGGAUGGCUUGCUCUUGCUGGCACUGGGCUGGGCCCUCCCGGCCUCUCUGAGUCACCACUAUUUUUAGCACAGCCUCGUCCAGGUGGGCCAGGCUCCGCGCAGGCUUCUUCAGUGUCCUGUGCCUCCGUUCCUACCUUGGGUGGUUGGGCCAGAUGCAGCGGUUGGCAGUUCCAGCUUCUCCCUCUACACCCGUGACCCUCAGCAAGCUGGCCAGCAGGGGCGGAAUCCGCCAUUUCAGGACCUGAGCACAUUCUGACAGUGACAUUUGCUGGGUGGCUUUAUGGGCUCGUGAGCCCACAGGCUGGGGACAGGGAGGGCAGACGGUGGGUAAUGUACUUGUCACGUUGCAGUUUAUUCUGCCAGGGACAGAUGUGACUGCCCGUCCAUGAGGCUGUGCCCCUGUGCGUGGACGCGGCUUCAGAGAGGGCCAUGGCCAGGUGGCCGCGUCUGUAUCUGAGAGGGUGGGGCGGGCAGUGCCGCUGGCUGUGCCCCACUCUCUGCUGUCCUGGGAUGGUGGCGCUGACGUCCGGCUGAUGAGGAGGAUUUACCAGAUCUCCUUCCCUGGCUGCGGUUUAUUAGUGCGUCUGGAAUACUCUGGUUGGGUUCUUCAGGGGCAGACCUGAAACAAAAAUCUGAGUUUAAAUCAUUUUUGGGGUGAUUCCAGGAUGGACUGGUAGCAGGGUGGUGAGAAAGGGUGUGUGAAGAAGCAGGUGACCACUGUGUGGGUGCUUCAGAGUUGUCCCUCCCAAGGGGUGACACACUGGGGUCUUUCCCAUCGCAGCCUGUCCUGGAUGGAAGGCAGGGCCCAGCCCUGGAGUCCUGCCUACGUGGGGGCCAUGCGAGCUGUGUCCCUAGAGAACCCCCAGGCUGAGAGCUGCCGGGGCUGGUGGAGAGCUGUGAGGGAGCAGGGAGCUGGGCGUCCACGGUGUCGCCCAGUGGGGAGGGCCGAGGAGCUGGGUCCUGCUUUGCUGGGUUGCACUGGACAGCCGCCCAUCUGUUCCGAUGGCUGGGGUCCUUGCCCUGCUCCCUCCUGGGCUGCUGUGACGAUGUCCUGUGAGAGGUGGGUGGGCUGCGGGUCUCUGGAGGUCUGCCCAGUGUGCGUUCUGGCCGCUUCCCCUUCCUCCAGGGUCCCCUCCUCCAUGCGACUGGAGAAAGGCGGUGACCCCUCACCUCUCAUCCAGCUGCACCAUGGCUCGAGUCCAGGCUGGACCAAGCGAGUGUUCCCUCUUCCUGGUGACAGGGACACACGAUCCCAGCAGGGCCAGUCCGUCUUGUGUGAACCCCAGGAGACAGAAGGCCGAGCAGCUGUGGGUGUGGGGCUGCUGGUGGCCACUGAGCUGGGCUGCAGGAGGCCUGCUGCAGAAUGCCGCAGGGAGCAGACAGAGCACAGGCAGAGGGGGGGGGAGAGGAGCUUGAGGUCCUCAGAGCAUCCCUGUCCAGCUGUCACUGAAGCCACUGCUGUCCUGGGACUCUCCUUAGGAGAAUGGCUUUGCUUUAGCUGUUGGGACCGGGCUCCGGGGCUCUGUGCUGGGAACGUCAGGAACUUGGGAGAGACCUUUGGAGGGAAGAGGAGCCCGAUGGGGGGUGCUGGGCUUGUUUUCUGCCCCUGAAGGAUCUCAAAGCAGCCACUGCCUGGCCAGCGGGCGUGAUGGGGUGUGGCUCUGCCUCUGCUGAGGGUGCCCUGGAGCCCUGGGCAGCCCCUCUGCCAGGUCGAGCCCCCCGAGGCCACCCCCACUGGCCCCACCCCUGGGGGAGUCCUGGGCCUCCCUGUCUCUCUCCACCCCACAGGCUCUCAGGGCUGCCGUGUCCCUUCAUCCAGGCAGCCUCCCCGGGGUCACAGCAGCUCCUAGGGCAAUCUCCCCAAGGUGACGUCACCCUGCUUGUCCUUGUUCCUUGGGGGUACGUACAAGGACAUUAAUGCCACACCAGGACCUGUGUCAAGGAAGGGUUGCGAACUCGGGGUGGCCCUCCCCUAACACGGGGCCCCGCCCCUCCUCUGCAGCCUGGAUCCUCCCUCUCUCUCCUCCUUCCCUCUCUUAGCAGAGAACUGGUGGAGCCCCCCAGGCCCCAGCUUCUCUCCUGUCACCUUCCACAUUGCCCUCAGGCCACUGUCACCGGUGCUGCCCAGUGGCUUGUCCUCCUUUGGGGUUGAAGGGGAGACACACGUUGAACACACUCUGUCCCUGGAGUGUGCCCUGCACACAGUAGGUGCUCACUCCCUGGCCUGGGCCUCGCUGUUUCCUGGAUGACUCAGGAGGCAGUUUGAAAGGCUGGCAGUGCAGGGAAUUGGGGGUGAGCAGCAAACCUGCCCCUGGGCCAGCAGGAGCCGCUGCUGGGGAAGAGGGAACCUCCCUGCAGCUCCCGAGCUCUGGGGGAGGACGGGGCGCAGCCAAGUCUCCAAGAGCGCUCACUGCUGCAGAUGUUUCCCAGCUGCUUCUCAUUUCCGCAGGGGACUGAAGAGGAAAUGGGCCUCAGCUGCCGCAGGAGGGCCUCCCAUUCAAAAGGGGGAGGCCCUGCUCUCCCAGAGACAGACCGGGAGGAGCCCCCUGGGACAGGAGGAUUCCGCUCUGGAGAGAGGGACGGGAGACAUCAGAGCCCACGGUGGGGUGGGCAGGGGGAGUCCAGUGCCUGGCCCUCCAGUGCAGAGAGGUGAGGCUGUGUCUCUGCAGCCACCAGACCAGCAUGGGGUCCUGCAGGGUGCAGGGGGACGGCUGGGAUGUUUUGUUGGGUGGCUUUGACGGAUCCCUUUGGGGUUAUUGUGGGCUUUGUGUGUCCCAAGGGGACACAGUGGGGCUGGAUGGAGGAAGAAAUGGCCUUGGCGCUGCUAGGGGUCAGCCCUGGCCUAAGAGGGACUUGGUUUCCUUCUGUGUCCCCUGUUCCAUGUCACACCUUGAGCUUUCUCCACCUCGCCUCGGCUCGCAGAGCUAACCAUGAACGACCCCAGCACACCCCACACGCCCCUCACUCCCCACACACCUCGCAUGCCCAGCUGAAUCGACAAACGAGCGAGGGCCGUCACAGAGGACGGUCUUUGCAACAAACAGAGCUGGAGCAGGGGACAUCUGUGGGCAUGAAACAAAAGUAGAAAGAUCUCAGCUGACACCUCACCCCUCCAGAUGCACUCCACGCUGGAACCAGCCACCAAACCACAGAACUCUCAGGCAAUCAGUGGGGAAAUUCCUCUGGACCUGGGACUGUCACCACUGAGGGUCCCAGAGGUCUCUCCAGGGGCAGAGGAGACUUCCACUGGGUCCUUCCAGGCUCUUGACACACCACAGAGAAGAAUUUAGGGACACAUGAAGAGGAUCUUGGUUAGGAAAUGAAGGUGAAGAUCCGCCCUCUUGAGUGGAUAGGGGCUCUGGAGCAGGGGAAGCACCCCAGGGCUCAAGGCCCAAAUUCUGACGAGGGUACACAGUUAGUGGCACAUGUGUGCUCCGGGGGGCGGACUUCCCGGAGGGCUGGGAAAUGCCAUGUUCCCUGUCGGGGUCUCGCCUGGCCGGGAGGUUUGCGCUCAAUGGACGUCC